GACGAACGCUGGCGGCGUGCCUAAUACAUGCAAGUCGAACGAACUCUGGUAUUGAUUGGUGCUUGCAUCAUGAUUUACAUUUGAGUGAGUGGCGAACUGGUGAGUAACACGUGGGAAACCUGCCCAGAAGCGGGGGAUAACACCUGGAAACAGAUGCUAAUACCGCAUAACAACUCGGACCGCAUGGUCCGAGUUUGAAAGAUGGCUUCGGCUAUCACUUUUGGAUGGUCCCGCGGCGUAUUAGCUAGAUGGUGGGGUAACGGCUCACCAUGGCAAUGAUACGUAGCCGACCUGAGAGGGUAAUCGGCCACAUUGGGACUGAGACACGGCCCAAACUCCUACGGGAGGCAGCAGUAGGGAAUCUUCCACAAUGGACGAAAGUCUGAUGGAGCAACGCCGCGUGAGUGAAGAAGGGUUUCGGCUCGUAAAACUCUGUUGUUAAAGAAGAACAUAUCUGAGAGUAACUGUUCAGGUAUUGACGGUAUUUAACCAGAAAGCCACGGCUAACUACGUGCCAGCAGCCGCGGUAAUACGUAGGUGGCAAGCGUUGUCCGGAUUUAUUGGGCGUAAAGCGAGCGCAGGCGGUUUUUUAAGUCUGAUGUGAAAGCCUUCGGCUCAACCGAAGAAGUGCAUCGGAAACUGGAAAACUUGAGUGCAGAAGAGGACAGUGGAACUCCAUGUGUAGCGGUGAAAUGCGUAGAUAUAUGGAAGAACACCAGUGGCGAAGGCGGCUGUCUGGUCUGUAACUGACGCUGAGGCUCGAAAGUAUGGGUAGCAAACAGGAUUAGAUACCCUGGUAGUCCAUACCGUAAACGAUGAAUGCUAAGUGUUGGAGGGUUUCCGCCCUUCAGUGCUGCAGCUAACGCAUUAAGCAUUCCGCCUGGGGAGUACGGCCGCAAGGCUGAAACUCAAAGGAAUUGACGGGGGCCCGCACAAGCGGUGGAGCAUGUGGUUUAAUUCGAAGCUACGCGAAGAACCUUACCAGGUCUUGACAUACUAUGCAAAUCUAAGAGAUUAGACGUUCCCUUCGGGGACAUGGAUACAGGUGGUGCAUGGUUGUCGUCAGCUCGUGUCGUGAGAUGUUGGGUUAAGUCCCGCAACGAGCGCAACCCUUAUUAUCAGUUGCCAGCAUUAAGUUGGGCACUCUGGUGAGACUGCCGGUGACAAACCGGAGGAAGGUGGGGAUGACGUCAAAUCAUCAUGCCCCUUAUGACCUGGGCUACACACGUGCUACAAUGGAUGGUACAACGAGUUGCGAACUCGCGAGAGUAAGCUAAUCUCUUAAAGCCAUUCUCAGUUCGGAUUGUAGGCUGCAACUCGCCUACAUGAAGUCGGAAUCGCUAGUAAUCGCGGAUCAGCAUGCCGCGGUGAAUACGUUCCCGGGCCUUGUACACACCGCCCGUCACACCAUGAGAGUUUGUAACACCCAAAGUCGGUGGGGUAACCUUUUAGGAACCAGCCGCCUAAGGUGGGACAGAUGAUUAGGGUG
rnacentral:rRNA from 1 species